rnacentral:rRNA from 1 species
AGCAGCCGCGGUAAUUCCAGCUCCAAUAGCGUAUAUUAAAGUUGUUGCAGUUAAAAAGCUCGUAGUUGAAUUUCGGGAUCAGUAGGUCGGUCGUGCCACUGGUAUGAACUGGUCUCACUGGUUCCUCCCUCUUGACGAACUGCAAUGCUAUUAAUUUAGUGUAGUAGGAAAUCAGGACUGUUACUUUGAAAAAAUUAGAGUGUUUAAAACAGGCUUUGGCUUGAAUACAUUAGCAUGGAAUAAUGAAAUAGGACGUUCGAUCCUAUUUUGUUGGCUUCUAGGAUUGACGUAAUGAUUAAUAGGGACAGUUGGGGGCAUUAGUAUUCAAUUGUCAGAGGUGAAAUUCUUGGAUUUAUUGAAGACUAACUACUGCGAAAGCAUUUGCCAAGGAUGUUUUCAUUAAUCAAGAACGAAAGUUAGGGGAUCGAAGACGAUCAGAUACCGUCGUAGUCUUAACCAUAAACUAUGCCGACUAGGGAUCGGAUGAUGUAAUUUUUAAUGA